rnacentral:rRNA from 1 species
UACGUAGGGUGCAAGCGUUAAUCGGAAUUAUUGGGCGUAAAGGGCGCGUAGGCGGCCAUUCAAGUGACGGGUGAAAGCCCUCGGCUUAACCGAGGAACUGCCUGUCAGACUGGAUGGCUUGAGACCGGGAGAGGUGAGUGGAAUUCCCAGUGUAGCGGUGAAAUGCGUAGAUAUUGGGAGGAACACCAGUGGCGAAGGCGGCUCACUGGACCGGAACUGACGCUGAGGCGCGAAAGCGUGGGGAGCAAACAGG